ACUCCGUGUCACUUCAAUGAGGCCAGUUGGUGCCGUGACAAUACCUCUGGCCAUGAAGUCCGACAAGAUGGACAACACCGCGCUAAAUAUCUCUACAACGCAGGAAAAGAGGCUUCAGCUGCUCACACAUGUUUCCGAGGGGAAUAAGGCCACAGGAUGGCACUGGAGAGGGAUUCUACCUCUGUGGAUGAUCCAGCAAAGCAACCUCUCCUGGUGGGAGUCAAUGGCUAUUUUCAUCAAUGGCCGACUGUCUGAUGCAUCUCUGCAGUUUAGUUCAAGUUCAGUUUAUUUCAGUUUUUAAA